GGAGGCAGCAGUGGGGAAUUUUGGACAAUGGGCGAAAGCCUGAUCCAGCAAUGCCGCGUGUGUGAAGAAGGCCUUCGGGUUGUAAAGCACUUUUGUCCGGAAAGAAAUCCUUGGUUCUAAUACAGCCGGGGGAUGACGGUACCGGAAGAAUAAGCACCGGCUAAC
rnacentral:rRNA from 2 species